rnacentral:lncRNA from 1 species
GCUGAGAGGCUGGCUUGCACUGGAGGUUCUCUUGGAGCCAUGAAUCACCUCUGCGUUUCAAGAAUAUCCUGGAGGCAGAUGCAUCUUAAAUAUGAAAAUCAAAGCAGACACUUCAGAAGGGAAUGCAGCUUCAGCGGGAACUCUAAGAAUUUCCUGAGAAUUGACCAAAGAGAAGAUGCCACCGAAGACACACAGGCAACGUGUUUCCUGAGUAUUGACCACAGAGGAGGCGUCACCUAAGACACAGGCAACGUCUCCAUUAAACUCGGCCUCUGAGAAACUUG